rnacentral:ncRNA from 2 species
UAAUACUGUCAGGUAACGAUGUC